rnacentral:rRNA from 1 species
UACGGGGGGGGCAAGCGUUGUUCGGAAUUACUGGGCGUAAAGGGCUCGUAGGCGGCCAACUAAGUCGGAUGUGAAAUCCCCAGGCUUAACCUGGGAACUGCAUCCGAUACUGGAUGGCUUGAAUCCGGGAGAGGGAUGCGGAAUUCCAGGUGUAGCGGUGAAAUGCGUAGAUAUCUGGAGGAACACCGGUGGCGAAGGCGGCAUCCUGGACCG